GCUUAUACUCGACCGUCAGCGGCACGUGCGAUCGCGCUCGCGCGCGAUCACGAAGCCCUGACGAGUAGGAGGGUCGCGGCGGUGAGCGCAGAAGGGCUGGCCGCGAGGCCGUCUGGAGCCGCCGUCGGUGCAGAUCUUGGUGGUAGUAGCAAAUACUCCAGCGAGGCCCUGGAGGACUGACGUGGAGAAGGGUUUCGUGUGAACAGCCGUUGCACACGAGUCAGUCGAUCCUAAGCCCUAGGCGAAAGCCGAUGUCGAUGCGGUGUAGCUUUAUUGUUAUUAUUAAUUAAUUAAC
rnacentral:rRNA from 1 species